UUGAGAUGUUUCUUAGCAAAAUUGAGACGAGCCCUAAUGUUCUUUUUGCUUAACAGUGGUUUGCGUCUUGGAAAUCUGCCAUGCAGGCCGUUUUUGCCCAGUCUCUUUCUUAUGGUGGAGUCGUGAACACUGACCUUAAUUGAGGCAAGUGAGGCCUGCAGUUCUUUAGACGUUGUCCUGGGGUCUUUUGUGACCUCUCGGAUGAGUCGUCUCUGCGCUCUUGGGGUAAUUUUGGUCGGCCGGCCACUCCUGGGAAGGUUCACCCCUGUUCCAUGUUUUUGCCAUUUGUGGAUAAUGGCUCUCACUGUGGUUCGCUGGAGUCCCAAAGUUUUAGAAAUGGCUUUAUAACCUUUACCAGACUGAUAGAUCUCAAUUACUUCUGUUCUCAUUUGUUCCUAAAUUUCUUUGGAUCUUGGCAUGAUGUCUAGCUUUUGAGGUGCUUUUGGUCUACUUCUCUGUGUCAGGCAGCUCCUAUUUAAGUGAUUUCUUGACUGAAACAGGUGUGGCAGUAAUCAGGCCUGGGGGUGGCUACGGAAAUUGAACUCAGGUGUGAUACACCACAGUUAGGUUAUUUUUUAACAAGGGGGCAAUUACUUUUUCACACAGGGCCAUGUAGGUCUGGAUUUUUUUUUCUCCCUAAAUAAUAAAAACCAUCAUUUAAAAACUGCAUUUUGUGUUUACUUGUGUUAUAUUUGACUAAUGGUUUAAUGUGUUUGAUGAUCAGAAACAUUUUGUGUGACAAACAUGCAAAAGAAUAAGAAAUCAGGAAGGGGGCAAAUAGUUUUUCACACCACUGUAUAUAUAUACACACACACACACACA